CACGUAGGGUGCGAGCGUUGUCCGGAAUUAUUGGGCGUAAAGAGCUCGUAGGCGGUGUGUCGCGUCGGCCGUGAAAACCUGCAGCUUAACUGUGGGCUUGCGGUCGAUACGGGCAUCACUGGAGUUCGGCAGGGGAGACUGGAAUUCCUGGUGUAGCGGUGAAAUGCGCAGAUAUCGGGGAGGAACACCCGUAGCGAAGGCGGCACUCUGGGCCGUGACUGACGCUGAGGAGCGAAAGCGUGGGGAGCAAACAGG
rnacentral:rRNA from 1 species